CUAGCCACUCUCCUCUCAUCCAGUCCACGUAGGGGCGGCUGCUCCCUCAGAUCCGCUGCACCGCGUGCCGCCGCCUCCCUCUCCCUCAGAUCUGCCGCCGCGCCCUCCAAGCCACACCCCGCCGCCGCCCUCAACCCAGCAUCCCGGCGGCUUCAGCAGCAGCACGAGCGGGCGGAUCAGGGACAGGUCCCUUGGCGCCAGGCGGUUGAAGUCGUCAGGAAGCGUGGAGGCCGGACGACGCUGGUGAGAUGCAAAUCUGUGAGGGAUCCCAGGCCGACGACUGGCUUCGGCGGCGUCCAUCCCCCGUCCAGCAUUGUUUGCAUCAGCAGGUGUAACCUCGCGGAUCCAACUUGACUGGAUCCGUGGCCACCGGAUCCAUCGCUGCCACUGGGAUGUGGAGAGGCAGCUGGUGUUCGUUUUCCUUUCUCGAUUCAAUUUCUGCUAGUGAUUCAUGCAUGUGCACCUUCCCUUUUGAGGUUAUUGCGCCUGAUGCUUCUGAUUUGACAGGCGGGCAGACAACUCGCAAAUCUCAGCAUCAAGGGCGGAACCGUGCCUGGCCCUCGAGCCCUCCACUUCCGCCUCGAUGGUUGAAGGUAGCGAUUAGACUUGGAGGUGCACCUCGCGAGCUUUAUCUGCAGGAUGCCAUCCAUGCCGAGGACAACAACAGCUGAGGUCUUUUCUCGUCGACAGUGCAACAAUUGCAGCUAGACUUCUCUCAGUUUGAUCUGAUGGUCUACUCAAGCUUGGCACUUGUAUCAGCAAGGAAGGAAGGAUGCGAGAGACUGAUCAUCACAACCCAAAAGAUGGUACAUUUCUAUAAAAAAUGGUUGCAGCAAGCAAGGGAGUAUGUGUUAAUCUGACUUCAACUGAUAUUUUAGAGAACAAGUGUAAUCAACUAUUGACUAUUGUGAUGUGCUUCUAAAUGUAACCUGAGAUGUUGCAUCUUUUGUUUUUUGAGAUUAUGAUAUACUGGACCUAAUAUGUGUAAUUCUGAUAAAUGGGCUGAAAACUUACUAUGUCAUUUGGGCUGAAAUGUUGCUAUGAUGAA